rnacentral:rRNA from 1 species
ACGGGGUGCAGCAGGCGCGAAAACUUCACACUGUGCGAAAGCGCGAUGAGGGAAUCCCAAGUGUUUGCUCGUAAGAGUAAACUGUUUCUUUGUUUAAAACGCAGAGAGAGUAAGGGCUGGGUAAGACGGGUGCCAGCCGCCGCGGUAAUACCUGCAGCUCAAGUGGUGAUCAUUAUUAUUGGGCCUAAAACGUCCGUAGCCGGUUUAGUAAAUGCCUGGGUAAAUCGUGUAGCUUAACUAUACGACUUCCGGGUAGACUGCUAAACUUGAGACCGGGAGAGGCUAGAGGUACUCCUGGGGUAGAGGUGAAAUUCUGUAAUCCUAGGGGGACCACCAGUGGCGAAGGCGUCUAGCUAGAACGGGUCUGACGGUGAGGGACGAAGCCCUGGGGCGCAAACCGGAUUAGAUACCCGGGUAGUCCAGGGUGUAAACGCUGCUUGCUUGAUGUUAGUUGGGCUCCGAGCCCAACUAGUGUCGGAGAGAAGUUGUUAAGCAAGCUGCCUGGGAAGUACGGUCGCAAGGCUGAAACUUAAAGGAAUUGGCGGGGGAGCACAGCAACGGGUGGAGCGUGCGGUUUAAUUGGAUUCAACGCCGGAAAACUCACCGGAG